rnacentral:tRNA from 1 species
GCCCCCGUAGCUCAGCGGACUAGAGCAUCGGUCUUCGGAACCGAGAGUCGUCCGUUCGAAUCGGACCGGGGGUA